rnacentral:rRNA from 1 species
UACGAAGGGGGCUAGCGUUGCUCGGAAUUACUGGGCGUAAAGGGCGCGUAGGCGGACAGUUUAGUCAGAGGUGAAAGCCCAGGGCUCAACCUUGGAAUUGCCUUUGAUACUGGCUGUCUUGAGUUCGGGAGAGGUGAGUGGAAUGCCGAGUGUAGAGGUGAAAUUCGUAGAUAUUCGGCGGAACACCAGUGGCGAAGGCGACUCACUGGCCCGAUACUGACGCUGAGGCGGCGAAAAGCGGUGGGGAGCCAAACAGGG